rnacentral:sRNA from 1 species
GCCUAGCCCAGAUAGAAGUGGAAAUCCUUUUAUUUUUUUCUUUAAAAAAUAAAAGAUUGUAACGAAUAGCUGGAAAUUGC